rnacentral:rRNA from 1 species
UACGUAGGGACCGAGCGUUGUCCGGAAUCAUUGGGCGUAAAGAGCGUGUAGGCGGCUUGCUAAGUCUUGCGUGAAAUCUCGGGGCUCAACCCCGAGCGGUCGUGGGAAACUGGCAGGCUAGAGUGCGGGAGAGGAGAAUGGAAUUCCUGGUGUAGCGGUGAAAUUCGUAGAUAUUCGGAAGAACACCGAUGGCGAAGGCAAUCCCCUGGGCCUGCACUGACGCUCAUGCACGAAAGCGUGGGGAGCAAACAGG